UAAUUAAACAAAGAUGCUAUUGAGUGGA
rnacentral:sRNA from 1 species